rfam:Schistosoma margrebowiei strain Zambia genome assembly, scaffold: SMRZ_contig0001179
GACCUCUCUGAAUCCAUGUCGAGAUUUUGUCAGACGCCAACCCAAUAGGGCUGAUGAAACUUUCAAGAUAAGUGAAGUA